rnacentral:rRNA from 1 species
UGGGGAAUAUUGGACAAUGGGCGAAAGCCUGAUCCAGCCAUGCCGCGUGUGUGAAGAAGGUCUUCGGAUUGUAAAGCACUUUAAGUUGGGAGGAAGGGCAGUAAGCGAAUACCUUGCUGUUUUGACGUUACCGACAGAAUAAGCACCGGCUAACUCUGUGCCAGCAGCCGCGGUAAUACAGAGGGUGCAAGCGUUAAUCGGAAUUACUGGGCGUAAAGCGCGCGUAGGUGGUUCGUUAAGUUGAAUGUGAAAGCCCCGGGCUCAACAUGGGAACUGCAUCCAAAACUGGCGAGCUAGAGUAGGGCAGAGGGUAGUGGAAUUUCCUGUGUAGCGGUGAAAUGCGUAGGUAUAGGAAGGAACACCAGUGGCGAAGGCAACCACCUGGGCUCAUACUGAAACUGAGGUGCGAAAGCGUGGGGAGCAAACAGG